rnacentral:rRNA from 1 species
AAUUGACGGGACCCCGCACAAGCGGUGGAUCAUGUUGUUUAAUUCGAUGAUACGCGAAGAACCUUACCAGGUCUUGACAUCCCCCCGCGAUGCUUUAGAGAUAAAGCGGAGGUAUUCGGGGAGACAGGUGGUGCAUGGUUGUCGUCAGCUCGUGUCGUGAGAUGUUGGGUUAAGUCCCGUAACGAGCGCAACCCUUGUCCUUAGUUACCAGCACGUUAUGGUGGGCACUCUAAGGAGACUGCCGGUGACAACCGGAGGAAGGUGGGGAUGACGUCAAGUCAUCAUGGCCCUUACGGCCUGGGCUACACACGUGCUACAAUGGUCGGUACAAAGGGUUGCCAAGCCGCGAGGUGGAGCUAAUCCCAUAAAACCGAUCGUAGUCCGGAUCGCAGUCUGCAACUCGACUGCGUGAAGUCGGAAUCGCUAGUAAUCGUGAAUCAGAAUGUCACGGUGAAUACGUUCCCGGGCCUU